UUGGACAGCACAUAAAUCGCUGCUGCUGCGACAUCAUCCGGAUUCAACGUCGGCAUCGCCAUCAUCGCUUCCUCGGAGAACAUGCUGUAGGAGGCCAUGAACUCCGUCGCGACCAAGCCGGGACUGAUGCUCUAGGUAAGGGCAAAAAUGCAAGCAGGGAGAAUUAGUAAGACGUCUCACCGUGACGCGAAUGCGCGUGCCUGCCAGCUCGUGCCGCAAGGACUGCGCGAGGCCGGUGACGGCGCGCUUCGACGCAGGAUAUGCGCUGAAUCCCGGCACGAAGGGUAUUCUCUCGCCGGCCAGACUGUUCACGUGAAUCACGAGCGAGUCCUCGCCCGUCUCUCGCAUCGCACGCACCGCCUCGCGCGUGCACAGACAGAGUCCCAGAACGUUCACGUCGAACACAGACCGCCAUUCCUCCAGGGAGCCGUCUGUGAGAAGAAUGAGUUAAUUAACGGAAUCAUUUGAUUAACGAGGAUUCUCACGUACAU